rnacentral:rRNA from 1 species
CCUACGGGAGGCAGCAGUGGGGAAUAUUGGACAAUGGGGGAAACCCUUAUCCAGCGACGCCGCGUGAGGGAAGAAGGUUUUCGGAUUGUAAACCUCUGUCAGUGGGGACGAUAAUGACGGUACCCACGUAGGAAGCCACGGCUAACUACGUGCCAGCAGCCGCGGUAAUAUGGAGGUGGCCAGCGUUGUCCGGAAUUACUGGGGGUAAAGGGAGCGUAGGCGGGAUGACAAGUCAGAAGUGAAAAUGUUGGGCUCAACUCAUAACCUGCUUUUGAGACUGAUAUGCUAGAGUGUAGUAGAGGCAAGCGGAAUGCCUAGUGUAGCGGUGAAAUGCGUAGAUAUUAGGAGGAACACCAGUGGCGAAGGCGGCUUGCUGAGCUUUUACUGACGCUGAGGCUCGAAAGCGUGGGGAGCAAACAGGAUUAGAUACCCUUGUAGUC